rnacentral:rRNA from 1 species
GAUGAACGCUGGCGGCGUGCUUAACACAUGCAAGUCGAACGGAAAGGCCCAAGCUUGCUUGGGUACUCGAGUGGCGAACGGGUGAGUAACACGUGGGUGAUCUGCCCUGCACUUCGGGAUAAGCCUGGGAAACUGGGUCUAAUACCGGAUAGGACCACAUUUUGGAUGGUGUGGUGGAAAGUUUUUCGGUGUGGGAUGAGCUCGCGGCCUAUCAGCUUGUUGGUGGGGUAAUGGCCUACCAAGGCGUCGACGGGUAGCCGGCCUGAGAGGGUGUACGGCCACAUUGGGACUGAGAUACAGCCCAGACUCCUACGGGAGGCAGCAGUGGGGAAUAUUGCACAAUGGGCGCAAGCCUGAUGCAGCGACGCCGCGUGGGGGAUGACGGCCUUCGGGUUGUAAACUCCUUUCGCUAGGGACGAAGCGUUAUGUGACGGUACCUGGAGAAGAAGCACCGGCUAACUACGUG